CCGGGUUCCACCGCUGCCUGGUGCCCACUCUGCGUCCGCAGACCGUCGGAGGCACUCGUGCUCUGGAUCUGGCUCACAGCGACCCGACUCUCCUGCUCUCCCCAGUAGCCCAGUACUCGUCUCUCCUCAGUACCCCAACUCUCCCACUCUCCCCAGUACCCCAACCCUCCCACUCUCCCCAGUACCCCCACUCUCCCACUCUCCCCAGUACCCCCAAUCUCCCACUCUCCCCAGUACCCCAACCCUCCCACUCUCCCCAGUACCCCAGUGCAUAAAGAGGAGGCGCUCACAAAGCGACAGGUCACAGCCUGCAGGGACACUCGCUGGCCAGCCCACCCACCAUCAUCUCUGCACCGGCCCACUGGGAGACGUCACCCCCGAGCGUCAGCACGAUGCAGGAGGACCCGGAGACCCUGCUGGCCUUGCAAAGAGCCAAUAUUGUGGCCCAGUACCAUCAGGUGAGGCCCAGAAGGGACCAUAGACACUACACACCCACGAAGGGGGGACUAUACCUGCAAGAGCAGGUGAGGCUCAAGAGGGGAUCAGAGCCAAGGAUGAGCCAGGUCAGCCCAGACAACGACCAUAGUCACCAGGAACAAGUGAGACCCUGGGGAUGGUCCCGGUGUCAGUAGCAACUAAGGGUCCAUCCUGGAUCCUAGUCAUUGGUAGCUGAGGAGCCCAGUCACCAGGUACAGGUGAGGCCCGGGUGGGGACCAGAGUCACCAGGUCCAGAUGAAGACUACAGCUACCAGGUCCAGGUGAGCCCAGGUGGGGACCAGAGUCACCAGGUUCAGGUGAGGCCAAGGUGGGGACCACAGUCGCAGAUCCACAUGAGGCUCAGGUGGAGACCAGAGUCACCUAGGUGAAGCCCAGUUGGGGACUAGAGUCACCAGGUCUGGGUGAGGCCCAAUUGGGGACCAGAGUCACCAGGUCUGGGUGAGGGCCAGGUAGGGAUCAGAGUCACCAGGUCAAGUGAGGCCCAGGUGGGGACCACAGUCACCAGGUCAGGUGAGGCCCAGGUAGGAACCACAGUCACCAGAUGCAGGUGAAGCCCAGUGGGGGACCACAGUCAACGGGUCCAGGUGAGGCCACGGUGGGGAUCACAGUCACCAGUUCCAGGUGAGGUCCAGGUGGGGACCAGAGUCACCAGGUCCCGGUGAGGCCAAGGUGGGGACCAGAGUCACCAGGUUCAGGUGAGGCCAAGGUGGGGACCAGAGUUGCAGAUCCACAUGAGGCCCAGGUGGGGACCAGAGUCACUAGGCCCAGGUGAGGCCCUGUUGGGGACCAGAGUCACCAGGCCCAGGUGAGGCCCAGUUGGGGACCAGUCACCAGGUCUGGGUGAGGCCCAGGUGGGGACCAGAGUCACCAGGUCCGGGUGAGGCCCAGGUGGGGACCAGCGUCACCGGUUCAAGGUGAGGCCCAUGUGGGGACCAUCGUCACCGGGUCCGGUUGAGGGCCAGGUAGGGAUCAGAGUCACCAGG
rnacentral:lncRNA from 12 species